GCAUGUGUCAUACCGCAUCCAUAUUGCUUAUUCGCGAAUUGUUCGUGAAACAUGAUCGCCAGCCAGUGUGGACACUUCAGCAAAUAAGUUACAGCGAAUUCAUCUGCGAACAACGAACACCGUUGGUAAUAUAUCAAACUAGAUUCACAUUGCUGUUCGCGAAUUAUUCUUAACAAUUCGUAAACUACGUUUCGAACACCGAAGGACACCAUUUUCGAGCAAUUUCGUCAAUUGUUUACCGAUGAAUACACACCUUCAAAGAAUCUUUCGAAGAACGUAUUUGAACGUCAACAUUAUUUGCUGGCCAAUCGUUGAAUGCUAUUAGCUGUUCGCAAGAAUAUCCACACUAACCUCGAAUAAUUUACAAACUUGUGAGCAGCGGUCAUACAGUCACAUUCACGUUCACGACAACUCUCAAAAUCAAUGUAGAUGUAGCAUCAAACAUACAUAGCAAUAUAAUCGGUUACAUUAAAAUACACGAUUUCUACUUCGAUGGAAGGAAAUACGCGCCAUACAACACGCGGUGUAUAAAACACGCUCGUGUAUCCCUGGCCUAAGGGGUCGUCGCACACAGCGGGUUUCCGCGGUUUUUAAAGGGCAGCGCUUAUUACACAGAUUGGAUUAAAGGUCUGGAGUCUCAUGGACGGUGAGAGAGAAGAAAGAAAAGCAGGAUAGGAGAAAGGGAGAGAAAGGAGGUAAAAUUGAACAAGAACGUUACGUCGAGAAGAACUUGUUAUUAGAUGAACGUUGAGAGUCGAAAGAGGGAAGAUGUGUGAUCUCGGUUGCAAGUUUAUGCUACAUGGAAUGCAUUCUAUCGAAUGGUUGGUAGAAAGAUGAUGAUCGGACGGAUGGAAUUAUUACAGAGAUAAUUAUUACAGGUGAGAUUAUGGCGAGUCACGGAAAUAGGUGAAUCAGUAGUAGUUGAAUAUUACUUUUAUAAGAAUAGUCUUCUUAUCAACAAUCUAACAAUAAUAAAAAUUUGUUCGUUAUUUAUGUAUUUAUAGUUGCAUACGGAUCUUCGUUUUUUUGUUCCAAUUUUUAAAAAGUAAAUAUUCGUCAAAAUAUUUAAGAGCAGAAAAACAGGUCAUAAACAAGAAUCUUUAUUGAAGGAGAAGAGAUACGGCAAAAAUAAAAUGAUAAAAGCUUGACAUAUUCAAAAAAUAUAUAUGAAAAAAUAUUAUCAAGAAUAAUAUUUAACCAAAUCUAUAUGCAUGCAUCCGCAUUACGAUUGAAAUUUUCAUUCACGAUCCGAUCCAACAAAAUAUCCUUCUCUUUCCAGAAGGGAACCCUUCUCUCCCAUCUCUUUUCCCCAUUCACAAAAAUCCCUUCGAUCCAUCGUUCCAACAUCCGCGAUUCCUCUCUCGGACCCUCAAUUUCAUUAAAUUCGCCCAAUCGGACCAUAUUUAUCGAACGAUCGCGAUAAUUCUCAUUUUCUACCUUGUUUGCCUCAUCUUCCAAAGCGAAAGAGGAAACUUUACCCGAUAUCCCUCUCGUGUCAUCCUUCUCCGGAUCACGCAAAACGGGUCCAAAGGGGGAUCGAAACGGUUGGCCCAUGUUUACAGUUGACUCGUAUAAGCCGUUGCAAUGUUGCACCGCGAAACGAAUGUGUCGGCGUCCGAAGCGACGACGCAAUGGGAACCGCCCGAGGCGUGUCGGUGCACCCUUGCAAAAGGCUCUCAAUCGCAAGAAUGCAAAGGCCAACCGGUCCGCUCGAUCAGAAUUUCGGCCGUGCCCUGCCCGUGCAAACCUCGCCUUUAAAAUAGUCUACUUUAUUGUCGGACGCGUGAGAAAAUCCGACUUUUACGAGUCGAUGAUGCGCGUCGAUCUUGCCUCCUUUAAUAUCGCGUUGCGUGAAAAUUGAUCGGUCGAUUUUUUCAUGGUGCCACGUUCGAAGUUGUACGGGUUUUGGAAUGAAGUUGUUCGAGAUACGUCGAAUAAAGAAGAGAGAGAGAGUAGAUUGAGCUUAAUUUUCAUUUAGUAAUUCCAUUAUACGGUUUUGAAACGAAGUUAUUUCUUAAUAAUAUUAAUACAUUUUGAGACAAAGAAACAAUUGUACCUAAUUUUCAUUUAUAACAGCCCAACUAGGAGAAUGUUCUAAUAAGUAUUAUUUUUAUUUUCUUAAAUUGAAAUUUUCCAAUAAACAUUCCAAUCCAAACGAUCCACGGAAUAAUAAUCGACGGCUCUAAUAGUAUCGAUCGGUCUUAAGCGUAACCCGACGUAAAAGAAAGAAAGAAAAAAAGAAUACAAAAGCUCGAGAAUAAUCGAGGGUGGCGGAAGAGGAUUCAAGAAUUCGCAUAAAUUUGUCCGCAUUCUGCGCGCGGUCCUCUGGGCGCGAGGCAAUAUUUUUCCGGGGCGAAAGGUGGAAAAAAAAAAAAAAAAUAAAGAAAAACGAAAGACUGAAACGACGACGACGACGACUUGGAAACGUCGAGAUAUAUUUCGCCCCGGAUCUCAAUAAAGCAACGGCCAAUGCAAUUCUUUCUCCUUUUUUUUCCACCUUUUCCUCUCCCUCCUCCCUCCUUUCCCUCUUUCAUCUUCUUUCUUCCUCCUUUUUUCUUCACCCCCCUCCUCCUCUUUUCUCUCUCUCUCUCUCCUCUCGAAAAGUAAUCGGUAAUCCCUGCAACGGAGGGCACUAACGAGAAUUAAUACCGAGCGGAGUGUUUGUUUUGUGACUCGGCAGCCGGGCUUUUAAAGAUCCGAGUCGCACAUGGGAAUCAGUUCGCGAGGCCACGUCUGAAUAAAUUAAAUCCUUACCAGGAAUUCACUAACGACCUGUACCUCUCUCCGGCUACACCACAUCUCUUAAUGCAUGUUCUAUGGGCCUCCCUCUCCUCCUCCUCCUCCUCCUGUAUACCACGGGAUUUUUAUUUUACGCGUAUUCUUUAUUCAUUUUUUUUUUCUCUUUCCUCUUCGUUUUUUUUUCCAGAUCGGAAGACUGUUUUGUCUCGGUGCGUACACAAUGAAGAGGGAACGAAACGCACAGGAGUGAAAUUGUUUUUUGCUAGUCAUGACUUCUAAUAAGGAACAAAAGCCGCCUUUUACACGGGAUUGAUAUUUGAAUUUUUUGAUCGAUCGGCUUCUCUCUCUUCCCUUUCUCCAGCUGCCAUGAAUUAAUCGUGAAUAUUGAUUGUUGAUCGAUCUUUUUUUUUUUUUUUUUAAAGAAAAUUUUUCGCUCGAUAAUUUAUUUUUGUAUUUCUGUUUUUCCACUGCGGCGCGGAGCGGAUGAAUUAGAGGGUGUGUGUAGUAAAAAUCAUUCAUCAUAUAUCAAGCAGAAACAUCUAGUUUAUUGAAUUAUUGAAAAAAUAUAUAUAUAUAUGUGUGUGUGUAUAUUUUAUAGAAUUUUACAGUUUACAUACAUUUUUACUCGAUUAUAAAAAUUAUAAUUAUACAUCUUUUUCAUCUUUCCCAAUUUUUCCUCUAAUGUUUUCGUUGGAUCGAGAAGAAAAAUUAUUAAAAAAAGAGAUAAAAAAUUUUAAAGUUUACCAUAUAAUCAACCGUCUAUUCCGAUAUACGGGGAGAGGAUAAUUUUUCAAUUGCACUUUACAAAUGUACGCAAGUGCGAGAAGCGGUCGCAUUUUGCCCCGCGUUUGUCAUUGCACUCCACCUGUUAUCGUCAAUUGCGCCGACGAACGUGCAAACUUGAGCGCGCGUUCAACAGCACAAUACCUCUUUCUCUUUCCCCGAGACGGUGAUAAUUAUCAACGUGAGAAACCGCGCCUCCCCUCCCCUCGGAAUGUGGAAUGUUUGUUCGCGGCGAAAGUUCCCCCUCCCCACCGCCUUAAUUUCGGCGGAGACUCGCCUAACUUCCUUCGAUUCAAUCCCCAGGAUUUUCUUGAAACGAAAUUCUUUCGAAUUCAUCGUAUCGGAGGCAAGAGAUUUUUUAAGCUAGAAUAGAUCGUUUCGAGUGAUGAUUCACUUUGGCAGAGAAUAAUAUAAAAAUAAGAAAAAUAUUGUAAUCGUAUUAGGACAUGAUUAUCAUUGGCCAGAUUGAAUCGAUAGAAAGUUUAAGAGAGAUCGUUAAGAGAGAUACCGUUAAUACACAAGGAAAAGUAAGCGGAAUAUAGCGAAAGAUAAACUGUGCGCCAUUUUGGAGCGAGCCACUUAUUUAUGACAGGUAUAAUUGUACACAUGUGCACGGUUUCCUCGUUUUUUGGACACGGGAAUAAUUAAUCAGAACAAGGUGUAUCAUUUUUCAAGGUGAUCAGCUCGGCGAGAAACAUUGGCAACGUUAUGCCACAUGUGAACCGCGUUCCUUUCAAACGAAGGAAUGAAAAAGCGUUUCUUUCGUUCGAGAGGAAUCGUGCCAUUAUAUUCCAUGGAUAAAAUAUUUAAAUCGAAAUUCGAUUAUAUCGUCACCUUUCUUGGUACAUUUACAAAUUCUACAAAAUUAUCCUCCUUUUUUCUAUAACAUACAGAUGAUAAAACGGAUAUAGAUAUAGAUAACAAAAAAAUAUGACAUCAUUGAAAACGUUAUUAAAUUAAAUCAAUCGAAAAGAUCAAUGUACAGUAAUAAUAGGGAUAUAAAUAUUUUUAAUAUCAAAAAAAAAAUAAUAAAAAUAAAAGACAUCACAGUUAUCCCUCGAAUGGAUUCACCGACACGCUCACACGUAAACAAAGGUGCGAAAUUAUGAAACGUUAACGUCGCAGACGCGCUCAACAAUAACAACGAAUCAAAAUGAAAAGAAAAAUAUAUUACCCGGGAUAAAAAUCAUCCGACAAUUCUUCCUUAUCGAAUUAAGAAAAAAGAAAAAGAAAAAGAAGAAAGAAAUCAUCCCCCGCACAAUUCCCAUUACAAUUUCUUAAUGACGUGUAUUCAUACAAAAGCAGACUCACUGUCUCUGGACCGGGCGCAGACGGUGAUAAUUAUCACCGUGAGAAACGUCAUGUAUCACCUAAGGCGAGCCACCUUGCGAGAGAUGGUGCCGAUGCUGAUGUUGGGCCGAUGGCGGUGGUUGGUUGGGCUGUUUUCAAAAGGGCCUCUUCCAUCCUCGUGAGGAACAAGGACAAGGAUAAAGAUAGAGAGAGAGAGGAGAGAACGGUUGGAUUUCGACGAAGGAAGGCACGAGGAGGAAUUUGAUUUACGCAUCGGUUCGUUGAAGUGGAUGUAUUGUGCGAGAAAACAUUGUGAUGCAUUGUGGAAUGACUGUCGGGGGAUAAGGUCUUAAUUACCGCGUGUGCCAUAUUGACGCGCCUUGUAUCCUGGUAUGACCGGCCGUUUUCAACGAAUUGCGAAAAGUCACCGGGAGUGAAUGGUCAAACAAUGAGGUUGCGGAAUUUUGAGCUAACACCCGUUGAAAAGAUGAUUGGUUAAAAUUUCGUGUAAAGUUGAAAGUCGCUUUGUGUAUCGUAAUCGAACGUAACUCGCAGAUAUAAUGCGAAAUUUCCUUCCGAAAUUUUAAAUGCAUUCGGGGUGGAGAUGGUUCGUAUUUUUUGUGAUAAAUCGUUCGUGAUUGCAAAAUGUUAAUUGUGAAAACAUUUAAAAUUAGUUAUUAUUUAAUUGUUUUUUUAAACAGGAUCGAGCUGGAUCGUGGAAGAAAGUUGAACCGGAAGCUUUUACCAGCCACUUCGCGUCAAUACCUUUUAAUUGAUCGUUUGUGUUUCAAGUAGGUAAUAGAUUUUCAAUGUAAUUUCAAUAAGAGGUUAAACAUAUAUAAAUUGAAUAAAUUGAAGUUCGUUAGAAUUAAA